UGAGAGGGCGAUCGGCCACACUGGGACUGAGACACUGCCCAGACUCCUACGGGAGGCUGCAGUCGAGAAUAUUUAGCAACGGACGAAAGUCUGACUAUGCGACGCCGCGUGCAGGAUGAAGGUUUUCGGAUUGUAAACUGCUUUUAUUAGGAAAGAAACCUUGUCGGUUAAUAUCCGGCAAGCUGACGGUACCUGAUGAAUAAGCCACGGCUAACUCCGUGCCAGCAGCCGCGGUAAUACGGAGGUGGCAAGCGUUACUCGGAAUUAUUGGGUGUAAAGGGCAAGUAGGCGGUUUAUUAAGCGAGGGGUGAAAUCUUCCGACUCAAUCGGAAAACGGCCUUUCGAACUGGUAGACUUGAGGCAGGUAGAGGGAAAUGGAAUUUCCGGUGUAAGGGUGAAAUCUGUAGAUAUCGGAAAGAACACCAACGGCGAAGGCAAUUUCCUGGGCCUGUCCUGACGCUAAAUUGCGAAAGCUAGGGGAGCAAACAGAAUUAGAUACUCUGGUAGUCCUAGCUGUAAACGAUGAGUACUAGGUGUCGGAUCGUAAGAUUCGGUGCCGCAGCUAACGCAUUAAGUACUCCACCUGGGGACUACGGUCGCAAGGCUAAAACUCAAAGGAAUUGACGGGGGCCCGCACAAGCGGUGGAACAUGUGGUUUAAUUCGAUGAUACGCGAAGAACCUCACCAAGGCUUGACAUAUAAGAAGUAGUGAACCGAAAGGGGAACGAGUCGUCAAGUCCGACAACUUAUACAGGUGCUGCAUGGCUGUCGUCAGCUCGUGUCGUGAGAUGUUGGGUUAAGUCCCGCAACGAGCGCAACCAUUGCCCUAUGUUGCCACCACAUUUUAACCUUCGGGUUAAAUGUGAGCACUCUUAGGGGACUGCCCGGGAUAACCGGGAGGAAGGUGGAGAUGACGUCAAGUCAGUACGGCCCCUAUGCCUUGGGCUACACACGUGUUACAAUGGUCGAUACAAAGGGUUGCCAACCCGUGAGGGGGAGCUAAUCUCUAAAAAUCGACCCCAGUUCAGAUUGGAGUCUGCAAUUUGACUCCAUGAAGCCGGAAUCGCUAGUAAUGGGAGAUCAGCACGCUCCCGUGAAUACGUUCCCGGGCCUUGUACACACCGCCCGUCAAGCGAUGGGAGCCGGGGGUACCCGAAGUCCUAUGUAGAUAGGCCGAAGGUAAAUCUGGUGACUGGCGCUAAGUCGAAACAAGGUA
rnacentral:rRNA from 1 species